AUCCUCAGAUUCAUAAGCAUGAUGAUUGAGUGUUCAUGCUCUAUGCAUGAUAUGUGCCUCCUUUCAACCUUGUUACGACCUUGGCACAUUAUCCAUCUGACG
rnacentral:snoRNA from 1 species